AUGGGUGCCGUAUUCCUUCUCAUAGAAAUACAAAAACGUAUCACCCACUUCCUACAAUCCGGUCUAAACCUUUGGUUAGGAUCCGCAGGAUCAACAACCAUAGCUGCACUGAGUACGGUAGAAUUCCCCGGUACGGUCAUUCAGGAAUUCCCCGGUUUGGUUUUGGUUUUGUCCAUAGGCUUUUCUUGGAGUACAUGUGUUGGUUUCAAGGAGAGUUUGUGUCGACCAAGGUGCUAUUCAAGGAAUUACCUAAAGAUUGGUCUUGUGAGAGGUUGUAUCCCUAUCAAAGAGCUGACGAAGGGGAUGAGCGGAAGAGGUCAUCUACUGGACGCGGUUCAACUAGCAGAGACUCUUGGAAAAUAUGGACUAAAAAGCCCCCAAGUUAGCGUAUUAUGGGGGGGCAUCAAGCACAUUCGGCAAAGAUUGAUGGGGAUCCCGUUGUUGCAUAGCUCAGGUCAGAGCAAGGUGCCAUCAGGCGUUCAAUAG
rnacentral:rRNA from 1 species